GCAAGUCGAGCGGGCAUCUUCGGAUGUCAGCGGCAGACGGGUGAGUAACACGUGGGAACGUACCCUUCGGUUCGGAAUAACGCUGGGAAACUAGCGCUAAUACCGGAUACGCCCUUUUGGGGAAAGGUUUACUGCCGAAGGAUCGGCCCGCGUCUGAUUAGCUAGUUGGUGGGGUAACGGCCUACCAAGGCGACGAUCAGUAGCUGGUCUGAGAGGAUGAUCAGCCACACUGGGACUGAGACACGGCCCAGACUCCUACGGGAGGCAGCAGUGGGGAAUAUUGGACAAUGGGCGCAAGCCUGAUCCAGCCAUGCCGCGUGAGUGAUGAAGGCCUUAGGGUUGUAAAGCUCUUUUGUCCGGGACGAUAAUGACGGUACCGGAAGAAUAAGCCCCGGCUAACUUCGUGCCAGCAGCCGCGGUAAUACGAAGGGGGCUAGCGUUGCUCGGAAUCACUGGGCGUAAAGGGCGCGUAGGCGGCCAUUCAAGUCGGGGGUGAAAGCCUGUGGCUCAACCACAGAAUUGCCUUCGAUACUGUUUGGCUUGAGUAUGGUAGAGGUUGGUGGAACUGCGAGUGUAGAGGUGAAAUUCGUAGAUAUUCGCAAGAACACCGGUGGCGAAGGCGGCCAACUGGACCAUUACUGACGCUGAGGCGCGAAAGCGUGGGGAGCAAACAGGAUUAGAU
rnacentral:rRNA from 1 species